AUUGAACGCUGGCGGCAGGCUUAACACAUGCAAGUCGAGCGGAGAUGAGGUGCUUGCACCUUAUCUUAGCGGCGGACGGGUGAGUAAUGCUUAGGAAUCUGCCUAUUAGUGGGGGACAACAUUCCGAAAGGAAUGCUAAUACCGCAUACGCCCUACGGGGGAAAGCAGGGGAUCUUCGGACCUUGCGCUAAUAGAUGAGCCUAAGUCGGAUUAGCUAGUUGGUGGGGUAAAGGCCUACCAAGGCGACGAUCUGUAGCGGGUCUGAGAGGAUGAUCCGCCACACUGGGACUGAGACACGGCCCAGACUCCUACGGGAGGCAGCAGUGGGGAAUAUUGGACAAUGGGCGGAAGCCUGAUCCAGCCAUGCCGCGUGUGUGAAGAGGGCCUUUUGGUUGUAAAGCACUUUAAGCGAGGAGGAGGCUACCUGGAUUAAUACUUUAGGAUAGUGGACGUUACUCGCAGAAUAAGCACCGGCUAACUCUGUGCCAGCAGCCGCAGUAAGAC
rnacentral:rRNA from 1 species